AUCGAUAUUCAUGGAGGAAAACCCUAGUUCAUCCACCAGAACGACUGACAGAAAAUUCAUCGAGAGGAAUCGGAGAUAUCAAAUGAAGGCUCUCUAUUCCCAGCUCAAAUCGCUUGUUCCUCAUCAAAGCCCAAGGGAUGCUAUUCCAUUACUUGAUCAAUUAGAGGAAGCCACCAAUUACAUCAAGAAGUUACAGAUGAAGUUGGAGAAAAUGAAGGAGAAGAAGGACAAUCUGAUGACCAUUAAUCAAAAGUCAAAUUUUAUCGAACAUAGAGGAAUGAUUAAGAGAUCAAAAUCACCACCUUGGUUUGAGAUCCAAGAAAUGGGCACUAUAGCCUUACAGGUUGUUUGAAAACUGAAUUGGAUAGUGAUUUUACAUUUACUGAUGUUAUUCGAUUUCUUGAAGAACAAGGAGCAGCUAUCAUUAAUGCCAGUUACACGGUUGUUAAAGAUGUAAUUAUUCACGCAAUACAUUAUGAGGUAGAAGAAUCUGUCAACAUUGCUGCGAUGAUAUCUAAGAGAUUAAGGAGAUUCUAGUGCAUUUUUAUAGUAAUUGUUUAUUUUGGG